UUUAAACAGAGCCUCCGCCACAAGAUGAGAAUCAAUGCAACCAUCAGCCAAACCUUCAGACAACAACACAUCCUAUUCUGACUGUCAUAUCCUCCCAAUGAUGUUUGCUGCAAUAAUAGUUGUAUUACAGAUCAAACUUAAAAUGUGCAAGAAAAGCUCCAAAAAAUGUCAAGAUGACAAACUAAAACAGCUUAACACUCCAAACACAUAUGAGUUUACAGAAGUGGAGUUUCAUCUGUGUGAAUAACAUUGCAGUGAGGCCGGCAGCAUUUUUACAAUACAAAUACUUACUAGUCCUGUAAAUGUUUAACAUAAUGUUUUUCAACACCUUUAAUAAUAUACAGUUAUGAAUAAUAAUACACAGUUUUGUUGAAGUGGCUUGAUUCUAGGCUAUUUUAGACUAAGACACAUGUUUAACUGAAAAGAACUUACACCGACAGAUGUUAAAAUAUGCCAUUGAUUUAUCUCAAGAUAGACACCAACAUCUUUUUCUAGGGCAUCUUUUUAAUUUAACUAAGGCCUUGUCUGUGAAACCAGGCCAUGAUUAUAUGAUUUCCUAUUUAACCUCAUGUAAAACCAAAGUGUGCAGUAUAUGGCCUGUGAACUUUUAUUUUGUAAUUGAACUGUUAUUUGUUCUCUGCUUACUUCCUGUUUCCUGCUCUGUUGUGAUUGGCUGGACAUCUGUUUACUCUAAUAAAUGUUUAUUUGUCUUUUAUAUUAUUCUACAUAAUGUCUUAUAUGAUCUCUUUCUCUCUCUCUUUCUCUCUCUCUCUGUAUCGCUGAUAUAUUACUGUAUGGUUUUUUUAUAUUGGUACAUGUGUAAACAUACCUUCAGAUGCUUCUUAAUCUUUGGAUUAAGUUAACAUCAUUUUAAAAAUCAAUGUGCUCAGCUUGAGCAGUCAUACAUUA